rnacentral:rRNA from 1 species
AGGUAACGGCCCACCAAGGCGACGAUUGGUAGCCGGACUGAGAGGGUGACCGGCCACAUUGGGACUGAGACACGGCCCAAACUCCUACGGGAGGCAGCAGUGGGGAAUAUUGCACAAUGGGGGAAACCCUGAUGCAGCGACGCCGCGUGAGCGAAGAAGUAUUUCGGUAUGUAAAGCUCUAUCAGCAGGGAAGAAACUGACGGUACCUGACUAAGAAGCACCGGCUAAAUAC